rnacentral:rRNA from 1 species
AACGCGAAGAACCUUACCUACCUUUGAAUCCACGGAAUCUGGCAGAGAUGCUGGAGUGCCUUCGGGAACCGUGAGACAGGUGCUGCAUGGCUGUCGUCAGCUCGUGUCGUGAGAUGUUGGGUUAAGUCCCGCAACGAGCGCAACCCUUGUCCUGUGUUGGCAUGCCGCAAGGCGCAACUCUCAGGAGACCGCCAGCGAUAAGUUGGAGGAAGGUGGGGAUGACGUCAAGUCAUCAUGGCCUUUAUGUCCAGGGCCACACACGUGCUACAAUGGGCGGUACAAAGCGCUGCCAACCCGCGAGGGGGAGCUAAUCGCCAAAAACCGUCCUCAGUUCGGAUUGCAGGCUGCAACUCGCCUGCAUGAAGCUGGAAUCGCUAGUAAUGCUAUAUCAGAACGAUAGCGUGAAUACGUUCCCGGGCCUUGUACACACCGAUAGC